AUACUUACCUGGUAGGGGAAAUACCAUGAUCACAAAGUAGCCCUUCUAGAACAAUUCUUAUCCAUUGCACUCCAGAUGUGCUGAGCUGAUUCCUGUAAUUUCCCCAAAUGCAGGAAACUCGGUUGCAGGAAAGAAAAGAAAAAGAUCUCUUAUUGUUCUUGC